GAAGAAGAGAAAAGAGGGGAAGAGAAGGGAAAGGGAAGAGAUUGAGAGGAAAUAACUUUAAAGGUUCUCCUAACGAUCUUCAAUAGGAUUUUCGGGUCUUUCGUCUGACGUUCCUUUAGUUCUAUAUUUUCCGGGUUCUUAGUUUCUGAUAGCAGUUGGACUUUGUUGAGUAUUUCUGCUUCUUCAGUUUUGGGUCGGUAUGCCUUGCUUAUUGUUCAAGGUUGUUUUGAUUCGAUGUCUUAGACGCUCCACUAUUACUCUGUUUUAAUUAAGUUUGGAUUUUGACAAUGUAAUGAGUAUUAUGAAUUAUUAUUUUUGUAUUAAUUACUUAUGAAGAGUUUUGAACUAUCCUUUGAUUUCAUCAGCUUUGAAUAAUAUACUAUUUCUGAAGAUUAUGAAAUGCUGCGUAUUUUUGAAUAUCUUGUUCUUUUGAUAUGUCCGUUUUGAGGCUUAGCGUAGGUGGGGUGUCCUUUCGACACUGCUCCUGCGUUGCCGGUCAUGGACCCGGGAUUCGGGUCGUGACAAAAAUAGA